rnacentral:RNase_P_RNA from 1 species
UGAGUCGGCCGGGUGGCCGCGGCACGGCUCGACCGUGUCGAGGAAAGUCGGGACUCCACAGGGCAAGGGUGCUGGCGAGAGCCAGGUCGGGGCGACCUGACGGCACAGUGCAACAGAGAGCAGACCGCCGAUGGACCGCUUGCGGUCACAGGUAAGGGUGAAACGGUGCGGUAAGAGCGCACCAGCGUCGGAGGCGACUCCGGCGGCUCGGUCAACCCCACCCGGAGCAAGGCCAAGCAGGAAGGAUGGGCUGCCCGUCCGCUCCCCCGGGAGCACCUUUCGGGUAGGCCGCAAAGAUGGAUGGUCACCGGCUGCGACGCAGUCACAGAAUCCCGCUUACACGCCGACUCACCAU